rnacentral:rRNA from 1 species
GAGUUUGAUCAUGGCUCAGGAUGAACGCUGGCGGCGUGCGUAACACAUGCAAGUUGAACGACGGUGCCAUGAAGUGGUAACACGGAGUGGUAUACGGAGUAGCGGACGGGUGAGUAAAGCAUGAGAAUCUGUCCUGUCGAGGGGGAUAACGUUCGGAAACGGACCCUAAUACCCCAUAGUCCGAGAGGUUAAAGGCAGCGAUGCGCGGCAGGAGGAGCUCGUGUCCUAUCAGCUGGUUGGUGAGGUAACGGCUCACCAAGGCAACGACGGGUAGCCGGCCUGAGAGGGUGACCGGCCACACUGGAACUGAGAAACGGUCCAGACUCCUACGGGAGGCAGCAGUGGGGAAUAUUGGGCAAUGGGAGGAAUCCUGACCCAGCGACGCCGCGUGAACGAAGACGGCCUUCGGGUUGUAAAGUUCUUUUAUGUGGGAAGAAUGAAGUGACGUACCACAUGAAUAAGCCCCGG